UACGUAGGGGGCGAGCGUUGUUCGGAAUUACUGGGCGUAAAGGGCUCGUAGGCGGCCAACUAAGUCAGACGUGAAAUCCCUCAGCUUAACUGGGGAACUGCGUCUGAUACUGGAUGGCUUGGAUCCGGGAGAGGGAUGCGGAAUUCCAGGUGUAGCGGUGAAAUGUGUAGAGAUCGGGAGGAACACCGGUGGCGAAGGCGGGUCUCUGGGCAAUUCCUGACGCUGAGGCGCGAAAGCGUGGGGAGCAAACGGG
rnacentral:rRNA from 1 species